CCCCCCCCCCCGGGCGGGGGGGGGGGGGGGGGGGGGGGGGGGGGGGGGGGGGGCCUUUUCCCUCCCCUCUUUGCACGCGGAGCCGUUUCCUUUCCUCUCAGCAUCGAGCGGGGCUCCGACGUGAACGGGCUUGGCAAGAGAGAGGGGGUGGGCGCUGAUUGCAUCCCCCCCCCCCCGGUUCCUCGCGUUUCUUUGCUUGCUGCGGUGCUGAGGGAGGAGCCGGGGCUGCUGGGCUCCGUGCGGGGCAGUGCAAGGGGCUGAGCGCUCGCCGCCCUCUGUGCAGCGUGGUCAGCUUUGCACGGGGCAGUGCAGCGUGCUGCAGGCAUGGGGAGAGCAGUGCAGUGUGCUGCAGGAACUGUUGGUGCAGGGCGGUGCAGCGUGCUGCAGGAGCAGGCCAGAGCAGUGCCAUGCAGUGUGCUGCAGGAAGGGUCCAUGCAGCACAGCAUGGUUUGCUGCAGGAAGGGUCAGUGCAGUGCCAUGCAAUGUGCAGCAGGAAGGGCUGGUGCAGUGCAGUGCAAUGUGCUGCAGGAACUGUUGGUGCAGGGCGGUGCAGCGUGCUGCAGGAGCAGGCCAGAGCAGUUGCAUGCAAUGUGCAGCAGGAAGGGCCGGUGCAGUGCAGUGCAAUGUGCUGCAGGAAGGGUCAGUGCAGUGCCAUGCAAUGUGCUGCAGGAAGGGCCGGUGCAGUGCAGUGCAAUGUGCUGCAGGAAGGGUCAGUGCAGCACAGCAUGGGAUGGCAGAGCAGUGCAAUGUGCUGCAGGUAGGGUCAGUGCAGCACAGCAUGGUGUGGUGCAAGGAAGGGUCAGUGCAGUGCCGUGCAAUGUGCAGCAGGAAGGGCCGGUGCAGCACAGCAGGGUGUGCAGCAGGAAUGGGCAGAGCAGUGCAAUGUGCUGCAGGAACUGUUGGUGCAGGGCAUUGCAGCGUGCUGCAGGAGCAGCCCAGAGCAGUGCCAUGCAAUGUGCAGCAGGAAGGGCCAGUGCAGCACAGCAUGGAAUGAGCAGUGCAGUGCAAUGUGCUGCAAGCAGGGUCCAUGCAGCACAGCAGGGUGUGCAGCAGGAAUGGGCAGAGCAGUGCAACGUGCUGCAGGAGCAGACCAGAGCAGUUGCAUGCAAUGUGCAGCAGGAAGGGCCGGUGCAAUGCCAUGCAAUGUGCUGCAGGAACUGCUGGCUCCGUGCAGCGUGCUGUGGGUUUGCUGCAGGCAUGGCCGGUGCAGUGCAGCGCCCGGGGCCCUUUGGCGGGGCCAGCUCCGUGCACGCUCAGCGCUGGGGAUCGGAAGGGGCCGGGGGGG
rnacentral:lncRNA from 1 species